rnacentral:lncRNA from 1 species
UAUUGCUAUCCACUUUGUCUUAUCCAUUUUAUAUUUUAAGUCAUCAUAUUCUUCUCUAAUGCAUGAGUGAAGUAUAGAAAAUAUUCUUUUGUAACAUACUAUUGAAAUAUACUCUUGGUGUGUUAGUGCAAAUCAUAUCAAAGUUUUCCAAAGUACCCUGAAGGAGAUUCAUUGUUCAUCUCAUCUACAUCUGAUUGGUGGGGGCGAAUCGAACCAAAAAACUAGUGUAACAGUAUGCUUUAGAAUUUUCUAUUUAUAAUCUUUAUAAACAACUUCAUUAUUAAAAUCUUAUAGCAACAAUUCUCACCAACAGAUCCAACAAUUAUAUAUAUGGAACAAAUUGAAAAUUCGAUAAUAAUGUUUUAGAUACUAUAUUGAUUAUAAGUUGUUAAAUAUUGUGUGACAUCUUUAAUAGUAAAUGAUUCAAUAUAGGAACCAACUUGACACUUUAAUUGUACACAUUUGACAUAAUCUAAGCUAUAUUAGUAAUGUUUGUCAGAAUCAAAUACAUUUUGAAAUAUUCAUAAUCUUAAAAACUUAUUUGAGAGAACCGUAUAAAGUCAUGACAUAUUUACUCCCUUCACAAAGGAAUAUAAUACCAAUGUUUUAUCCUAUAAGUGUUUGUUUCAUUCUUUUCGUUUGUGUUCACCUUAAUUUGAGACGCGACCUCUAUACACUUAAGGCCUCUUUGAUACGUAAGACAUGAUAAAGAC